GAAGAGUUGGACGUGACUGAAAAUGACUGAAACAACAAUAACCCUUGAGCAGUCAUGAGUAGAGAAUAGAGGGAAGGAGGAUGGCUUAAAGGGGAGGUAGA